AUUGAACGCUGGCGGCCUGCCUUACACAUGCAAGUCGAACGGCAGCACAGGGAGCUUGCUCCUGGGUGGCGAGUGGCGAACGGGUGAGUAAUGUAUCGGAACGUGCCCAGUAGUGGGGGAUAACUACUCGAAAGAGUGGCUAAUACCGCAUGAGAUCUCUGGAUGAAAGGGGGGGACCGCAAGGCCUCACGCCACUGGACCGGCCGAUAUCAGCUUAGGUUGUUGGGGGGGUAAAGGCCUACCAAGCCUGCGAUCUGUAGCUGGUAUGAGAGGACGACCAGCCAAACUGGGACUGAGACACGGCCCAGACUCCUACGGGAGGCAGCAGUGGGGAAUUUUGGACAAUGGGCGCAAGCCUGAUCCAGCAAUGCCGCGUGCAGGAUGAAGGCCUUCGGGUUGUAAACUGCUUUUGUACGGAACGAAAAGGCUCUGGUUAAUACCUGGGGUCCAUGACGGUACCGUAAGAAUAAGCACCGGCUAACUACGUGCCAGCCGCCGCGGUAACAC
rnacentral:rRNA from 1 species